GAUGAACGCUGGCGGCGUGCUUAACACAUGCAAGUCGAACGGAAAGGCUCCUGCUUGCUGGGGUACUCGAGUGGCGAACGGGUGAGUAACACGUGGGUGAUCUGCCCUGCACUUCGGGAUAAGCCUGGGAAACUGGGUCUAAUACCGGAUAGGACGAUGGUUUGGAUGCUAGUGUGGAGAGUUUUUCGGUGUGGGAUGAGCUCGCGGCCUAUCAGCUUGUUGGUGGGGUAAUGGCCUACCAAGGCGUCGACGGGUAGCCGGCCUGAGAGGGUGUCCGGCCACAUUGGGACUGAGAUACGGCCCAGACUCCUACGGGAGGCAGCAGUGGGGAAUAUUGCACAAUGGGCGCAAGCCUGAUGCAGCGACGCCGCGUGGGGGAUGACGGCCUUCGGGUUGUAAACUCCUUUCGCUAGUGACGAAGCGCAAGUGACGGUACCUGGAGAAGAAGCACCGGCUAACUACGUG
rnacentral:rRNA from 1 species